rnacentral:lncRNA from 1 species
AAAUUUCUCUAAAACUUUUAUUUAGCCGAUUAUCCCUUAAAAACUUAAAACCUUUUUUUUAAAAAAACUCUCUCAAACUCCUUUUCUCCGUCGAACGGGUUCGGCCGGCAUUUUGCCCUUUCGUUGCCGUGUCCGGCGCCGCGAAAAUAGGCUUUUAGCCCCGCUUUAAAGCACCCUUAAAGGCUAAGCCCCCAAAUCCCGAUGAAUCGAACGGACAUAGGGCUUGAUACCCUUUUAGAGUCGAUUACGACAGCGGCGUCGCAACCCAGGGAAAUCAGGUAAGUCCCUCCUCUUUCCCUUCUUUAGUUUCGUAUCAAAAUGAAAGAAAAAAUAAUAAAAUAAAAAAAAUUGAAAAGUAAAAAUGAAAAUCACCUUUAGCAAAUACUGUUUUUGUUUCUUGAUUCUAUUGAUCUGUGUGCGUAAGCCUUUAUACUGACUAUCUCUAGCUUUUUAUAACCGAAUGAAAUAAAAAUAAAAAUAAAAUUACAAGAACGAUUUUCUCUUCUUUUUUGUUAUUUCUUUGUUGUUGUUGUGCAUUUGCUGUGGCUUGUGGGUUUGUUGCAGGUACAGCUAGACAGGUGUGCGUAGAGAAAACAACAAGGAUUUCCAAAAGCUUCACCUUGUUUGGGCCCUGUGAGCCUAUCCCGAAGUCGAGCUAUUGGGGCGGAGGCCAUUGCUGCGGCGCGAGGAAGCUUCAAAAACACUUAGGGUUUUUGAAAGAAAUUUAAUCAUUGGGCCUUUUGGGUCAAUUUUGAUUUAGGCUAUUGGGCCAAAGGUCCAUUUUAGAUUUGGGUUAUUAUUUUUUUGUAUUUGGGCCAUUGUUUUGGGACCUUUGCAUUCAGGUUUGUAAAAAAUUAGGCCAAUCGGGCUUUGUAUUUAUUUGGGUUUUGUGAUUUGAUGGACUUGCUGGACUGUUACCAAUUUGGACUUUAUUUACUGGUUUUUUAUUUAUACUGUUUAUUAUUUUUUUGGAUAAUUUAUGGGCCCGGGUAAAAUGGGCCUAUUACAAAUAUUAUAAAAAUAAAUAUUAUUUUUAAAAUCUAAAGAUUCUUAAUACGGUAGAAUAUUCGGAACAGAAAAAUGAAAGGAAGAAAUAAUAGAUAGAAAAGAAGAGAAAAUUUCAGAGAAGAGAAAUGAAGAAGAA